ACACUCUUGGCUAUGCGCUUGUCACGGAACUCCACCCAUCCCUCUGUGUAGUCCUUGCUGUGGUACUGCUUUUUUCCCUCCCACGGCUGCUGCUGCCUUCUUUUUGCAUCUCACAAACCAGUCCUCAGCCUGAAAGAACGCAUCUGACCUCACCAUAGGCACUGAGAAGGUUGCGGACAUGUAGGGGCUGGAAGUGUGGUGGGAUAUGGCCCAGGUACACAAUACCUGGCACUACCCGCUUCUUGCUGCCACAGGCUGCUGCUUUGGAUUCCUCCUGCUCCUCCUCCACAUCUAGUGUCUGGUCUGUCCCUUCCAGCGCCUUUGCUCUGUUGCGGCCUUCUCCGAUUCCUCUGCCUCCGUGUUGACUGACACGAGCAGCACGACCUAAUUUCAUUACUUCUAAUGACUGCAUAGAUUCAUUUGCAUGGUUAAAUCACAAUUUAACCUAUUUUAUAUUGAUGUAUAUCUAAAUUCUCUUUUUCACAAUAGAAUGUUUUAAAGGAAGUUGGGCUACUCACAAGUUACUACAUAAGAAAGCAAAAGAUGAAAAGGCGAAGCGAGAAGUGUCUUCCUGGACUGUGGAAGGUGAUAUUAAUACUGACCCAUGGGCAGGUUAUCGAUAUACUGGUAAACUCAGACCACAUUAUCCACUGAUGCCAACAAGGCCAGUGCCAAGUUAUAUUCAAAGACCAGAUUAUGCUGAUCAUCCCUUAG
rnacentral:lncRNA from 1 species